AUGGUCGCGGUUUCUCCUUUGUCUUUCAAUCCUUCACCAUUCAUCACCGACAUUGCUCACCACAUGAAAAAGAAAUUGAAGGGUGUGGUUAGUGUCCAAGUUAACAAUAUUAUACGCAACACAAAAAGAAACAAGUUCGUUCCAAGUUUUCAUCAAAUUCACUCAAAAAUUCCAACAAAAAGAAUAAUAAAGUCAUGA